AAAGGCCCGUAGGGGUGGGGCUCAGACUCUGACAGUACUUCCCUGAUGAGACCUUGGAGUCGGGUUGUUUGUGAAUGCAGCCCAAAGUGGGUGGUAAACUCCAUCCAAGGCUAAAUACAAGCACGAGUCCGAUAGUAAACAAGUACCGUGAGGGAAAGUUGAAAAGUACUUUGAAGAGAGAGUAAACAGUGCGUGAAACCGCUCAGAGGUAAACGGGUGGAGUUGAACUGCUUGUUCUGUGAAUUCAGCUGGUGACUGUAUUAUGAUCUUGGUUAUUUUGAUUGGACAGCGGGGUCUGUGUAGCAGCAGGUCUUUGCCUUCGGGUGAGGAUGCGCGAUUUACUUAUCAAGUAAUGUGCGCCCCGUUUGUUCUUCGAAUCGGUUGCCAGUGCACUUUCUCAGAGCGCUCAUCACGACCGGCACUGCUGUCUGGCUGUUAUGGUUAAACCGGUUUGGCAUAGUUCUUGUAGCUUUGUCGAGUCGGGACGGCAGGUAGCUCGUUGGCUUGCUUGUGGUUCGCUGCAGGUGUUCGGCUUUCGGGUGUAAUCAGCUGACCAUGAUGGUUCUGUACAGUGUGUCGGAGACGGCGGCUUGUGGUGUGUGCAUGUGUGGUGGUUUGCAGGCGUCUCUGGGUUUGGUUGCCUUGUUCGCUUGUCAAAGCAAGCCUGGCAAUAGCCUUGAGACGUUCUGUGGGCUGCUGCAUGUGUGACAUCUUCACAGGGCCGACAGUCUGUGAUGUUGUGGUAGACUAUCCACCUGACCCGUCUUGAAACACGGACCAAGGAGAGUAACAUGUGCG
rnacentral:rRNA from 1 species